UCGAGCGAGCGGAACUAAAGAUUUACUUCGGUAAUGACGUUAGGAAAGCGAGCGGCGGAUGGGUGAGUAACACGUGGGGAAUCUGCCCCAUAGUCUGGGAUACCACUUGGAAACAGGUGCUAAUACCGGAUAAGAAAGCAGAUCGCAUGAUCAGCUUUUAAAAGGCGGCGUAAGCUGUCGCUAUGGGAUGGCCCCGCGGUGCAUUAGCUAGUUGGUAAGGUAAAGGCUUACCAAGGCGAUGAUGCAUAGCCGAGUUGAGAGACUGAUCGGCCACAUUGGGACUGAGACACGGCCCAAACUCCUACGGGAGGCAGCAGUAGGGAAUCUUCCACAAUGGACGCAAGUCUGAUGGAGCAACGCCGCGUGAGUGAAGAAGGUUUUCGGAUCGUAAAGCUCUGUUGUUGGUGAAGAAGGAUAGAGGUAGUAACUGGCCUUUAUUUGACGGUAAUCAACCAGAAAGUCACGGCUAACUACGUGCCAGCAGCCGCGGUAAUACGUAGGUGGCAAGCGUUGUCCGGAUUUAUUGGGCGUAAAGCGAGCGCAGGCGGAAGAAUAAGUCUGAUGUGAAAGCCCUCGGCUUAACCGAGGAACUGCAUCGGAAACUGUUUUUCUUGAGUGCAGAAGAGGAGAGUGGAACUCCAUGUGUAGCGGUGGAAUGCGUAGAUAUAUGGAAGAACACCAGUGGCGAAGGCGGCUCUCUGGUCUGCAACUGACGCUGAGGCUCGAAAGCAUGGGUAGCGAACAGGAUUAGAUACCCUGGUAGUCCAUGCCGUANACGAUGAGUGCUAAGUGUUGGGAGGUUUCCGCCUCUCAGUGCUGCAACUAACGCAUUAAG
rnacentral:rRNA from 1 species